UGCCUUUAAGUGUUGCCCAUUCAUCUCUUCUGUGGUGACUGGGGUGUCAAAUAAGGCAAACAGCCACAGCUGUAGUUGUUUGUGAAAUGAGAUUUUUCAGUUGCUCAUCUUAAAACAGCUGCAAGGACACAU
ensembl:snoRNA small nucleolar RNA SNORA13